CAACGAAUAUUCCCCAAUGGACGCAAGUCUGAGGGAGCGACGCCGCGUGCAGGAAGAAGUCCCUCGGGAUGUAAACUGCUUUCAGGGGUGAGGAAGAUCUGACCAACCCCAGAAGAAGCACCGGCUAACUCCGUGCCAGCAGCCGCGGUAAUACGGAGGGUGCGAGCGUUGUUCGGAAUUACUGGGCUUAAAGCGCGUGUAGGCGGAAUAUCAGGUGUCUUGUGAAAGCCCCGGGCUCAACCCGGGAACUGCUGGGCAAACCGGUAUUCUUGAGGCAAGUAGAGGUGAGUGGAACAACUGGUGGAGCGGUGAAAUGCGUAGAUAUCAGUUGGAACGCCGGAGGCGAAAGCGGCUCACUGGGCUUGUUCUGACGCUGAGACGCGAAAGCGUGGGUAGCAAACAGGAUUAGAUACCCCCGUAGUCC
rnacentral:rRNA from 1 species